GACGAACCGUGCAAACGUUAUUCGGAAUCACUGGGCUUAAAGGGCGCGUAGGCGGGUUGCCAAGUCUGUGGUGAAAUCCUCCGGCUUAACCGGAGAACUGCCGUGGAUACUGGCGACCUCGAGGGGGGUAGGGGCUUGCGGAACUGUGCGUGGAGCGGUGAAAUGCGUUGAUAUGCACAGGAACUCCGGUGGCGAAGGCGGCGAGCUGGACCCUUUCUGACGCUGAGGCGCGAAAGCCAGGGGAGCGAACGGG
rnacentral:rRNA from 1 species